GACGAACGCUGGCGGCGUGCCUAAUACAUGCAAGUCGAACGCUCAAGAGAGGAGCUUACUCUUCUUGGGUGAGUUGCGGACGGGUGAGUAACGCGUAGGUAACCUGCCUUUUAGCGGGGGAUAACUACUGGAAACGAUAGCUAAUACCGCAUAACAUUGGAUGACACAUGUCAUUUAUUUGAAAGGGGCAAUUGCUCCACUACAAGAUGGACCUGCGUUGUAUUAGCUAGUAGGUGAGGUAAUGGCUCACCUAGGCGACGAUACAUAACCGACCUUAGGAGGUGAACGGCCAAACCUGGACUGGGACACGGCCCAGGAUCCUACGGGAGGCAGCAGGAGGGAAACUUCCGGAAUGGGGGGAAACCUUAACGAGCAAAGGCGGGUGAGGGAAGAAGGUUUUCCGGUCGGUAAGCUCUGUUGUAAGGCAAGGAAGAGUGGGAGAGUGGAAAGUGCACACUGUGACGGUAGCUAACCAGAAAGGGACGGCUAACUACGUG
rnacentral:rRNA from 1 species